rnacentral:lncRNA from 1 species
UUUCUUCCGAUAAGUUUUGAACUUUUGAUCAAUUAAAAAAAAAACAGCCUUGAUUUUCACAUCAUUCGUUGUACCAUCUGCCACCAAAAACAUGGGAUACACUGAUAUAGCAUAUAUGGAUUUGCCGCAAUCAGCAAUUCCACGCAGUCAAUACGUUGGUGGUUGUUGGAUAGAGAACGGACGGUCAAGACAUCUAACCGAGAAAGCAUUAUUUGAGUGUCUAACCUCAAACAUCGUAAAUUUAUAAGCAUCAUGGCGGGAUAGUCGCAAAUGCCAUAUUACACAGAACUUGGAAAUUUAUAACCAUUACCUAUCUAUUAUUCAUUUUUAAACCAACCACACGGUUCAAACCCUACAGUAUACCACAAGUAUAUUUUACAGAUAAAGAAAAAUUGAAACCAUUUUGCAACGAUUAUGAGUCAUUUGAGUAACAGUUUUUCUGAUAAAGUUAUAACCAGUUUGGAUACACAUUGCAUAAAUGUUCCGAAACAAAGAUCUACAUUAAAAAUCAUAGCUACGCUAACAAACUGGAUGAUCAAUGUUGUUUAUGUUCAGAAAUUUUCACUAUAAUUUUCCUCUUCUCAACCUUUUAAACAUACCAGUAAAGAAUAAUAUUUUUGUUGCAGCUAUUCCAUAUGGAGCAUUUUAGAGAACUUCAAUCUCAAACAACCGAAACCGGAAUGUACAACAACCUAUCUCUGUAGCACAUGCAUAUAUAAGUUACAUUCAAAUCAGCUUCUGAACAAUAAAAGAAGGAACUAACAAGCAUUGGAAGAAAGUAGGAAAAAUGUUAAUCAAUCUCAAAAGGUUUGGCUUUUUAUUAUGAGCCAAAAUUAGAUCAAUGAUUGAUAAACUAACAACUCCAAUGAUUAAUCCCCUCGAGGUAACUGAGAUCCAUUUAAGAGGUUGACCUCUCCCAACAAAUGCUUCUCCAUACGCACCGGCCCGGAUCGAAUCCAUGACCAAAUUGUUAAGGGAUACUUGUGCCACUGCCACACUAUGGUGGUACUAAAAACUUCAUUUUGUUAUGCAAACCUUAUAGGUUUGCAAAUAAUAAACUAGUCAAUUAUAUCAAUUAAUCUAUAUUGUUUAUUCUUUUAAUCCUAUUUUUUUACCUCAUGAGGUUUUUCUUUGCACUGUUAAUUUAUCUAUAUAGCCCCACUUAUUCAUUCACAAAAGUCCUAACUUGAAAUCUUUUCCACAAAAAACAUCAUCAUAAGAUAAAAUAUAACCCACAAAUAAAUAACACGAAAAAUAGAAACUUAACCAUAAACCCAUCAUAAGAUUUGAAAUCAUGGAUCUAAAGAAACAACUGUAUGAAUUAAAAAUUAAAAAUUUAAAAUCUACAAAUGAAGAGAUCUAAUCUAAACACAAAAUCAGUGAAAAGGGGUUUCAAUUGAAUGAAAAUGAAACAGGAAAAAAUACAAAAAGGGAAAUGAAAAUGGUGAAAAUGUAAAUGGGUCAGAGACACAAACCUGGUUUCAGAGCAGAGCAGAGAAAGUGUGUGGGACAAACAAGAUUCGAUAUAAGCUUUUACGAGGUAAAAAGAACAGGGACACUAUUGUUAUAUUGUUGUUGCUGCGAAGCUCACUUUGGUUAUGAUUUUGUGAUGUGCA